GUCACUGAGAGUUACUUCCCCUUUGCACUUAAAUGUCUUUCUUCCUCUUACGGAACUAGGGCUGGGUGCUCUGAAAACUGGAGUUCUUCCCUAAUGCCCUCUGCUGUGUUAGGCAUUAUGAAGAAAAUUUGUACUGAGGGAAGAACACUGGACUGGAAGUUGGCUGAACAUCUUCAAGUUCCAGCAAUGUCACCGAUUUUGUUUAUGUGAACCUGAAUAAGUCCAAAUCUCUUUUGAGCUUCAGUUAUAAAAUUGGGACUAACAAUAAAAUUUAGAUUUGGAAGAGACUUCAGAGAUCAUCCAGAUUGGUGAUGUCAAAUUAAAAUAGAAAGGGAACACUUUGGGCUGUAUAUUAAUAAAUUAACAUUAUUUUUCUGG